rnacentral:rRNA from 1 species
AUUGAACGCUGGCGGCAGGCCUAACACAUGCAAGUCGAGCGGAUGAAGGGAGCUUGCUCCUGGAUUCAGCGGCGGACGGGUGAGUAAUGCCUAGGAAUCUGCCUGGUAUUGGGGGAUAACGUCCGUAAACGGGCGCUAAUACCGCAUACGUCCUUAUGGAGAAAGUGGGGGAUCUUCGGACCUCACGCUAUCAGAUGAGCCUAGGUCGGAUUAGCUAGUUGGUGGGGUAAAGGCCUACCAAGGCGACGAUCCGUAACUGGUCUGAGAGGAUGAUCAGUCACACUGGAACUGAGACACGGUCCAGACUCCUACGGGAGGCAGCAGUGGGGAAUAUUGGACAAUGGGCGAAAGCCUGAUCCAGCCACGCCGCGUGUGUGAAGAAGGUCUUCGGAUUGUAAAGCACUUUAAGUUGGGAGGAAGGGCAGUAAGUUAAUACAUUGCUGUCUUGACGUUACCAACAGAAUAAGCACCGGCUAACUUCGUG